GCAGCAAAUUACACCAUGGCGUCGCCCUCAAGGGCUUUAACAUUGAAAUGCUCUCCUUGUAUCGCCUUCUCCACCAAAACCCUUAUGGACUCCAAACCCACAACUCUUCACAGACCCUUUUCAUGUUCAAUUUCUGGGUCACCCCCACGAGAAGCUCGUACAAGCGGCGUUCAUGAAGGUGCUAUCACAUUGCAGGAAUGGCAGGGUUGGGGCACCGCGUCUCCAGUUCCCGCCAUGGUUACCAAAAUUGUUGAGGAUUUGAAGGCUUUGGAGAAAGAUAUUGAUACCCAGAUGAGCUUUGGUGGUAGUCGUGGCAAACUUCAGGGAGAUUUCAAAGUGCAAGAGGAUAAAAAACACCGAAAAACAUAUGAGGCUUUAGGUGAUUCUGAACAAAAGCUCCAAUUCUUUUCAGCUCGACAAAUAGCAUGUCGUUUGCUCGGAAGUAGGGGCUACCUUUGUCAAAAGUGCUGGCUUCCCUCUGAAGAAGAUUGUAUGUGUUCUAGAGUCACUCAAUGCACUCUAUGGAAUAGAAUGCGGUUUUGGUUAUAUAUGCAUCCCAAGGACUUCUUGCGGCAGAACAACACUGGGAAGUUGUUAUGGCAUGUAUUUGGCACUGAGGCUGCAACUUUGUGCCUCUUUGGCAUUUCUGAACAUGAAGAAAUAAUGUGGAAUGCAUUGAAGCUUGCAGGAAAAAGCAAUACUUGGUGCCUGUAUCCCAACAAAAAUGGAGUGUUAAAAUCAGUUGAGGAUGUCUUUGGCCAAGAACCAUCACCAUAUCUGGAAGGAACAGAUACUAAGACAGAUGAAGAUAGAACUCUGAAUUUCAUUUUGAUUGAUGGAACAUGGAACAAUUCAGUUGCAAUAUUCAGUCGGCUGAAGGAUCAAGGAGUGUCAGUUUGGGGAGAUGGAGACUUUCCUUGUAUUUCCCUGGCCACUGGUACUUCUGCGAUGCACAAACUUCGGCCCCAACCAUCAUGGGAUCGUACCUGUACAGCAGGAGCUGCUAUUGGCCUCCUCUCUGAGCUGCAACUUCUUCCAGAGUUCAGCUCCUUUGGAUUAGAUAAACAGGCUGAAGCUGUAGAGGAUACUUUAGUUUUAUUAUUAGAAGCACUGACAAAUAGGCGGCUUCGGAUGGGCAGGUCCAUCACUCGCAGAGUACGACACAAUUUGCUAACAACCAACCAAGAAAGUUAAUGGUUGACCUGUCGCCAAGAAGAUUUUAGAAUUCUGAGUGGAUCUGCAUGUCGCACAUAUCACAUGGAUGCAAACGCUCCAUAGAAUUUCAGUUGCUUACUGUUACGAUGGACUGUUUCCAUUUAUCUGUUCACAUCUUAUCAGAAACGAAUUUUGGAAAUCAGCAAUAGAAUGAGUAAUAUAUGCACAAGGGCUCCGAUUUCGACUGCUAAGCUGCAUCAGUUUCUUACUUCUGAAAUGAUCAUCCCCUCUAGUUUCUUACUAACGGUGAAGGAGGACUAUCUAUUUUUGGCACCUGACAGUCACUUUCACACUGAAUGUAUUUGAUGUUGAACUGAUCAAAUUCAAAAUGAUUUUGUCGAUUAUUUUCGGAGUACGUUGAUGAAACCUAAAUGAAGCAGUAAACCCACUA